UACGGGGGGGGCAAGCGUUGUUCGGAAUUACUGGGCGUAAAGGGGUUGUAGGCGGCCAACUAAGUCCGACGUGAAAUCCCAAGGCUUAACCUUGGAACUGCGUCGGAUACUGGAUGGCUUGAAUUCGGGAGAGGGAUGCAGAAUUCCAGGUGUAGCGGUAAAAUGCGUGGAUCUCGGGAGGAACACCAAUGGCGAAGGCAGCUUCUUGGCUCAUUCCUGACGUUGAGGCACGAAAGCGUGGGGAGCGAACAGG
rnacentral:rRNA from 1 species